CUAUUCUGAUAUUUGGACCGAGCAGUGGGCUGCUGGAUAGUGAUCCUUUUAUCCAAGAUCUUCAGAUCAAGACCCCUGCACUCUAAGAUCCUGGAUUUAAUAGUCCAGAUUUGCAUAUGUUCCUGAUUGAUGUAGACAUUUAGAGGGAUUGAUUCACGUCAUUGAAUCUCAUGGUCAUGCAGCAAGUACCACAUUAAUUCUAAGUUCUCUACACCAUUUGCCAGUCCUAAUCGCUACAGUGAACCUGUAUUGUUGAGGAGGGAGACAGACAAUAAAAAAACUAAAGAGCUGAAAUUCUAUAAAUUGGAGUGAUGAGAUGCUUUUCUUCUGUGAUGAACAAGAUGAGAAGUAGAUGACACAUUUUGGGGCCUCUCAGUUUACCUUGGAAUUCCAGAUGACUAAAAGAACCAGUGGGAAGCA